GAUGAACGCUGGCGGCGUGCCUAAUACAUGCAAGUCGAGCGGACCAAAGAGAGCUUGCUCUCUGAGGUUAGCGGCGGACGGGUGAGUAACACGUGGGUAACCUGCCUGUAAGACGGGGAUAACUUCGGGAAACCGAAGCUAAUACCGGAUGAUAAAGAGAAACGCCUGUUUCUUUUUUGAAAGUCGGCCUUGUGCUGACGCUUACAGAUGGGCCCGCGGCGCAUUAGCUAGUUGGUGAGGUAACGGCUCACCAAUGCGACGAUGCGUAGCCGACCGGAGAGGGUGAGCGGCCACACGGGGAAAGCGACCCGGCCCAGACUCCUACGGGAGGCCACAGUAGGGAAUCUUCGGCAAGGGACGAAGGUCUGACCGAGCAACGCCGCGUGAGCGAUGAGGGCGUUCGGGUCGUAAAGCUCUGUUGUCAGAGAAGAGCAAGUACCGGAGUAACUGCCGGUACCUUGACGGUACCUGACCAGAAAGCCACGGCUAACUACGUGCCAGCCGCCGCCGUAA
rnacentral:rRNA from 1 species